CCGGGUACUCGCGACUGGCGCAGCGAGGUGGAACUGACCACCGGGGAGCGACCGCAGGCAACGCCGCACCGCGCGCCUGGGUGUGGUGU
rnacentral:ncRNA from 2 species